AUCCAACUGAAGAGUCCCAAAUAGAGUGAAACGUGCGUCCUGGAU
rnacentral:hammerhead_ribozyme from 1 species